UGUUGGAACUAUGAGAUGAGAUAGACGAGGGAGGCAGCAGAUCCGAUUCAGUUAAUUUUCUUUGAGGCUCGAUUAGGAACAGAACUAUGGAUGGUAGCGAGAGUAUUCUUCAUUGGUCUGGGCGGAGGCUUUGGAGAUGAAUCGACAUCUACAUCUGUUGCCAACGGCUGCUGCUUCCAGGAUAAAGUCGAUCUGAUACAAAAGAAAGGAAAGGUACAAAUAUUUGGAGAAUGCUAUUGGAGUUUAAUAAAGUCCAGAAGAGAAUAGAUGCUAAUUUCCCGCAGAUCGCCAGUAUUUAUAAAGAGCAUACCCGAGAUACAUAAUGGUUAACACUAGAAAUCGCGUCUCGAGAACUCGUGUGUCUCAGCGUAGCACCCUCUUGGACAAUGAGAUGGUAGAAUCCAGAAAGUUUGUUGAACAAGAUUCAAAAAUUCAAUGGUCUAAUGCGUCUUGGGAGUGUGGUAAGAAGCUGAAGCACUACAAUUCUUUUCUCCGGAAAGGAAUUUCCAUAUUUAUCUGGUCUUUCGUUUGCGUCUGGGGGGAAGAUAAUAGAAGCUACAUCGGCUAUGUAGAAGAUCUGUUUGAAAACCGGAGAAUGGAGAAAGCAGCCCUUAUACACUGGUUUCUGCGCAGCGAGGAUGUUGAAGGCCGAUAGUUUCCGCUGAACAGGGCAUCAGUGAUGUCUUUCUGUCUGUGCUAGGUCUGCAUCGACUAUGCAUUUUCGAGGUUGGGGUGUGCAUAAGCGAUGCAUUCUCCAAUAAUUCCAUUGAUCACUGAUGGUUUUUCCUUAUUGUAAACAAAUUUAGAUUGUUUCAAAUAUUUGAUUUUCUCAUUUGUGACAAAUAGUUUUCGAUAGUGCUGAUGGCAUCCAGUGGGGCUUGCAUUGGCUUUCGGAAUGCGGUGGCAUUUAUUAAUUGUAGUUGGUUGCAACGAA